GGAUUCAUGGAAGAUAAACUAAUGCGAAAGCAUCUGUCAAGGAUGUUUUCAUUAAUCAAGAACGAAAGUUAGGGGAUCGAAGACGAUCAGAUACCGUCGUAGUCUUAACUAUAAACUAUGCCGACCAGNGAUUGGGAGACGUUACGUGGAUGACUCCCCCAGCACCUUGAGAGAAAUCAUGAGUCUUUGGGUUCCGGGGGGAGUAUGGUCGCAAGGCUGAAACUUAAAGGAAUUGACGGAAGGGCACCACCAGGAGUGGAGCCUGCGGCUUAAUUUGACUCAACACGGGGAAACUCACCAGGUCCAGACAUAGUAAGGAUUGACAGAUUGAUAGCUCUUUCUUGAUUCUAUGGGUGGUGGUGCAUGGUCGUUCUUAGUUGGUGGAGUGAUUUGUCUGGUUAAUUCCGAUAACGAACGAGACCUCAGCCUGCUAAAUAGUAAAGUGAAUUUUCUAAAAUGGGUGAAGGGAAGAAGUUGAGGGUGAUACUUGUUAUCACUUCGUCUUUUUGGAUCCUUGAAAUAUUUACUUUUUUUUUUAUUAAUUAUAAAUUAUUAAUUUUACUUCUUAGAGGGACAAUUCAUAUUUUAGUGAAUGGAAGUUUGAGGCAAUAACAGGUCUGUGAUGCCCUUAGAUGUUCUGGGCUGCACGCGCGCUACAAUGACUAAUUCAACGAGUAUUUCACCUUGAUCGAAAGGUCUGGGUAAUCUUCCAAAAUUAGUCGUGCUGGGGAUAGACUAUUGUAAUUAUUAGUCUUCAACGAGGAAUUCCUAGUAAGUGCAGGUCAUCAACCUGCGCUGAUUACGUCCCUGCCCUUUGUACACACCGCCCGUCGCUCCUACCGAUUGAACGAUCCGGUGAAAUCUUGGGAUCGAGAAGUAUGCCUUGGGGAAACUCAAGUGCGAUUUUUUGAGAACUUGCUUGAACCUUAUCGUUAGAGAAGAGAAG
rnacentral:rRNA from 1 species